rnacentral:rRNA from 1 species
AUUCCAGCUCCAAUAGCGUAUAUUAAAGUUGUUGCAGUUAAAAAGCUCGUAGUUGGAUUUCUGACAGGGGGCCGAACACCACUGUAGUGAGUGUUUUGGUACCUGUCAUCCUUCUGUUAACCCUAGCGUCAUUCAUUUGUCGUUGGGCGGACCAGAUACUUUACCUUGAGAAAAUUAGAGUGUUUCAGGCAGGCCUAGCCGGAAUACAUUAGCAUGGAAUAAUGGAAUAGGACUAUAGUCUCGUCGUUGGUUACGUGGACUGCAGUAAUGAUUAAUAGGGAUAGUCGGGGGCAUUCGUAUUCAAACGACAGAGGUGAAAUUCUUGGACCGUUUGAAGACGAACUAAGGCGAGAGCAUUUGCCAAGAAUGUUUUCAUCA